UAACUUCGGGAGAAAGAGUAUUUUUAUAUAUACAUUAUAUGUAUAUAAAAAUGUAACAGAAUAGAGGAUGGCGACUGUUUAACAAAAACACAGGACUUUGCAAAAUUAAUUAAUGAUGUAUAAGGUCUGACACCUGCCCGGUGCUAUAAAGGUAAUUGUUAUUGUUAAUAUAUUAUUUAAUGUAUUAGCUUUAUAUAGAAUGAAUAGUAAACGGCAGCUGUAAAUAUAACGGUUCGAAGGUAGCGAAAUUCCUUGUCGAGUAAGUUUCGACCUUGCAUGAAUGGUGUAACGACUAUCCUACUGUCUCCGGUAUUAUAUUAGCGAAAUUGAAUUCUCUGUGCAGAUGCAGCGUAUUAAUAGCUAGACGGAAAGACCCUAUGCACCUUUACUGCAGUUAUAUUUUGUUAUUAAAAAUUAAAUUUAUAGGAUA
rnacentral:rRNA from 13 species